rnacentral:lncRNA from 1 species
GUGUUCAUCCUCAACCUUUAUAUAUGUUAUGUAUUAUCAUAAAAUACAACUUACAUUUCAAUAUUAAGGAUGAACACGAAUGCGGCCACUUUCGGUUUACACCAAAACCGUCUAAAAUUUAACUAAAAAUGCUAGAAUUAUGAGGAUUUCAGUAAUUUAGCAUGACUUAAUGGUGCUGGUACUGGAUAUAUGUGCAUUGUAUUGUCAAAAACAGCCCAUAUUUAUGUAGCAGAAGCAUUCUACUGUCCAAUAAAUAACUAAAGGUUUAUAUUUUAACAAUUUUGUAAAACUGCUAUAUUUUGGGGCCAAAAAGGGGUCUUACUGAACCUACUCCUUU